rnacentral:rRNA from 1 species
GGGGUAAGGCUCCCUGUAGACGACAGGGUUGAUAGGCCAGAUAUGGAAGCCCAGUAAUGGGUGGAGUUGACUGGUACUAAUAGGCCGAGGGCUUGUCCAGAGUUG